rnacentral:rRNA from 1 species
UUAAGCAUAUCAAUAAGCGGAGGAAAAGAAACCAACAGGGAUUGCCCCAGUAACGGCGAGUGAAGCGGCAACAGCUCAAAUUUGAAAUCUGGCCCCAGGCCCGAGUUGUAAUUUGCAGAGGAUGCUUUUGGCGCGGUGCCUUCCGAGUUCCCUGGAACGGGACGCCAUAGAGGGUGAGAGCCCCGUACGGUUGGACACCAAGCCUUUGUAAAGCUCCUUCGACGAGUCGAGUAGUUUGGGAAUGCUGCUCUAAAUGGGAGGUAUAUUUCUUCUAAAGCUAAAUAUAGGCCAGAGACCGAUAGCGCACAAGUAGAGUGAUCGAAAGAUGAAAAGCACUUUGAAAAGAGGGUUAAACAGCACGUGAAAUUGUUGAAAGGGAAGCGCUUGUGACCAGACUUGCGUCCGGUGAAUCACCCAGCUCUCGCGGCUGGGGCACUUUGCCGGCACAGGCCAGCAUCAGCUCGCUGUCGGGGACAAAAGCUUCGGGAACGUAGCUCUCUUCGGGGAGUGUUAUAGCCCGUUGCAUAAUACCCUUCGGUGGGCUGAGGUACGCGCUCCGCAAGGAUGCUGGCGUAAUGGUCAUCAGCGACCCGUCUUGAAACACGGACCAAGGAGUCAACCUUAUGUGCGAGUGUUUGGGUGUUAAACCCCUACGCGUAAUGAAAGUGAACGCAGGUGAGAGCUUCGGCGCAUCAUCGACCGAUCCUGAUGUUCUCGGACGGAUUUGAGUAAGAGCAUAUAGGGUUGGACCCGAAAGAAGGUGAACUAUGCGUGUAUAGGGUGAAGCCAGAGGAAACUCUGGUGGAGGCUCGCAGCGGUUCUGACGUGCAAAUCGAUCGUCAAAUAUGCGCAUGGGGGCGAAAGACUAAU